AAAUAUAAAUAUCAGUUUUUUGUGGAUGCUUUGGUUUAAAAGAAGAAGGACGUUGUGCAAAACGAAAUGUUAUACUGAGAGUGUAAUCUGCGACGUAUAAAUUUCCUCCGUGGGAAACCACCACUCAUUUUUUAUUCAACUGGGUGAACUGAAACAUCUUAGUAACCCAAGGAAAAGAAAUCAACCGAGAUUCCGUAAGUAUCGGCGAGAGAACAUGGAACAGACCAAACCCCUUUAUUCUGGAAUGCAGAAAGGUGUGGAAAAAUCUACCAAAGAAGGUGAAAGUCCUGUAGGCGUUAUAGGAAAGGUGUGUUCAAAAAAGUAGAACGACGAUGUUUGUUUGAAUACAGGAGGUCCACCUUCUAGGUCUAAAUAUGCUUUUGAAACCAAUAGUGAACAAGUACCGUGAGGGAAAAGUGAAAAGAACCUUACUUAAAGGAGUGAAAUAGAACCUGAAACAAAAAAUAAUCAUUCAAUCGAUUUUCUUCCUACGGAAAGUCGGUGUACCUUUUGCAUAAUGGGUCAGCGAGUAAAUAAAAAAAGCGUUGCUUAAACGGUUACGUGGAGGCAAAGCAAAAGCGAGUAUCAAAAGUGCGUGUGUUUUUUUUAUUUGACCCGAAACUAAGUGAUCUAGCUUUGACCAGGCUGAAGAAAGGGUAAAAGUUUUUGGAGGGCCGAACUGACGUCUGUUGCAAUAGACGCAGAUGAGUUGAGGCUAGGGGUGAAAGGCCAAUCAAACUUAGAGAUAGCUGGUUCUCCGCGAAAUUUAUUGAGGUAAAGCGUUCAAUGAGAGAGAAAGGGGGUAGAGCACUCAUUAGGUAAAGGGGAUCCAAAGUCUUACUAAACGUAUUGAAACUCCGAAUACUUUUCUUUUCUAUCUUGAGCAGACAGACUUAAAGUGCUAAGGUUUUAAGUCAAAAGGGAAACAGCCCAGACUGUCCGCUAAGGUCCCUAAACAUUUUGGAAGUGGAAAAAGCGUUUUAUAACGAAGACAGCUAGGAGAUUGGCUUGGAAGCAGCCAUUCUAUAAUGAAAGCGUAAUAGCUCACUAGUCGAGUUUUAAAGCACUGAGAAUGUAUCGGGGCUUCACAAAAUUACCCAAGCGACAGAUAUUAUUGGUAGCGGAGCGUUUUGUAGACCAUUGAAGAGGUUUUGUGAAAAACUUUGGAGGAUUCAAAAGUGAGAAUGCUGACAUGAGUAACGACAAAUCAUGUGACAAUCAUGAUCGCCGUAAGUUCAAGGGUUUCUGCGUUCUGUUUUUCAGCGCAGAGUGAGUCGGUCUCUAAGUGUGUUUUUGAGAAAAAACCACGAUGAAACAAAUGAAAGAUGACGAAAUGCUAAGUAGAAAUCAAGAGUGUAUUGGAUGGCUUUUUGGUUUCUAUCAUUUCCAGGAAAACUCUUCAUAAACUGUGACCGUACCCGAAACCGACACUGGUGAACGAGUCGAAUAGACUCAGGCGUGGAGCGAACCAUAUUGAAGGAACUCGGCAAAUUUUUCCUGUACCUUUGGAAGAAAGGAAGCCAAUUUUGGUGACACAAAAAUGGGGGUGACGACUUUUUACUAAAAAAUUAGGACUCUGCAAAAUGGGAACAUGAUGUAUAGGGUCUGACGCCUGCCCGGUGCUUGAAGCUUAACCUGUAUACUGUUUUGGUAUAUUGUGAAGGCCUAGUAAACGGCGGUUGUAACUAUAACAAUCAUAAAGUAGCGAAAUUCAUUGUCAGCUAAUUCCUGACCUGCAUGAAAGGCGUAACGAUUGCCCCACUGUCUCCAGUAUGGACUCCGUGAAAUUGAACUCUCCGUGCAGAUGCGGAGAAUGUGCCCCAAGACGAGAAGACCCUAUGCAUCUUUACUGUACAUUUACACUGGAAAAAAGC
rnacentral:rRNA from 1 species